AUGGACGACCCGCAGGUUAUCCUCGGCACCUCCAGGAGCGAUAUGCUCGCCUGCUUGGAGCGCGACGGCCAGGACCCUGCAACGCUGGACCUCGGCUUAAACGUGAUGCUCCACUUCGUAAGCCCAGUCCUCGAGUUCCUCCUCAUCAUGUGGAGCCAAACCGGAGUGCGCCUCCGCCUCGUCAGCCACAGCCUGCGGUGCCUUCAGCUGGCCUUCACCUACUUGGAGUACAUCGACGUGGUGGAUGCCCCUCUCCUGGAGAGGCUCUUGCAGUGCGAAACUGUUGGCGAGGGGGGGAUGAAGUCCACCAUGGAGCGCUCUGAGAUCAAGAUUGGGCGUGCACCUAAUCUGCGUCUGCCGGGAUAUCUUCUGCCAGGAGAGCAACAGUUGGUGGCUGGGAGCAGGGAGAACAUUGCCCCUACUGUCAAGAUUUUGGGCAUAGAGGUGCAGUUUGGUGUCCGCAAUGUUGUCAAGAAAGUGUCUGCCUUCCUCAGAUGCUUCCCCAACCUGGAUACGCUCCAUGUCCAUUCCCCUCCCAUAUCUGAAGAGUCCACUGGCAAGGUGAAUCUCAAGUUCUGGCAGGAGGGCGGUCCCAUCAAAUGCGUCGUGCAGAGCGUGAAGAAGGUGUUCUUCUACGAGUUCCAGGGGUCGAGAAGCGAGGUUGCUUUCCUCAAGUUCAUCGCGGAGAGAGGGCGGGUGCUGGAGCGGAUGGUGGUUGUGGUGUCCAGCAAGUGUUUCUCCUCGUCCUCGGUGGGUAAUGCGGACGCCAAAUUGAUGCCUCUGAUGAGCGCAAAGUGGAACAACAAAGCAUGCAAACUAGAGCUAUUCAGGAGCGGACGCGAGGACGCUGAAGGUCCAGUUUACUCCCACGAGCUAGCUUCUGAUUUCGAGUUUGCUGACCCUUUUGACCUCGAGGACUACAUGAAGCAGAACGGGUCUCUGCAAGUUAAUUAG
rnacentral:rRNA from 1 species